rnacentral:rRNA from 1 species
ACAUCCAGAGAACUUAGCAGAGAUGCUUUGGUGCCUUCGGGAACUCUGAGACAGGUGCUGCAUGGCUGUCGUCAGCUCGUGUUGUGAAAUGUUGGGUUAAGUCCCGCAACGAGCGCAACCCUUUAUCCUUUGUUGCCAGCGGUUCGCCGGGAACUCAAAGGAGACUGCCGGUGAUAAACCGGAGGAAGGUGGGGAUGACGUCAAGUCAUCAUGGCCCUUACGGCCAGGGCUACACACGUGCUACAAUGGCGCAUACAAAGAGAAGCGACCUCGCGAGAGCAAGCGGACCUCAUAAAGUGCGUCGUAGUCCGGAUUGGAGUCUGCAACUCGACUCCAUGAAGUCGGAAUCGCUAGUAAUCGUAGAUCAGAAUGCUACGGUGAAUACGUUCCCGGGCCUUGUACACACCGCCCGUCACACCAUGGGAGUGGGUUGCAAAAGAAGUAGGUAGCUUAACCUUCGGGAGGGCGCUUACCACUUUGUGAUUCAUGACUGGGGUGAAGUCGUAACAAGGUAAGCGUAGCGAG